AUCAGGAUGGCCGAGAGGUUAAUGCAUUGCACUCAAGAUGCAAUGGACAGUAGUCCUUGUGGGUUCAAAUCCUACUCCUGGUA
rnacentral:tRNA from 1 species